ACGGCUGUGGUCUAUCGGUAUGACUCGACCCUCCCAAGGUCGUAGACCGGGUUCAAUUCCCGGCAGCCGUA
rnacentral:tRNA from 3 species